UUUUCUUGAUUCCAAGUCCCAUUUAAGAUAUCCAUAUAAUCUUUAAUUCCAUUGUCCAUGUCUUUAUAUUUUCCACCCUUAAAUUCUAUACUUGAUGAUGAAUCUUAUUUUUGUGAAAACCCAAUUGUGUCCCCAUUACAUAUGUAUUAUUAUUGUAACUUUGACCUUGGUCUAAAAAAAAAAUACUCACAAUUAACUUAUUCAUAGUCAAUAACUUGACACCCUUAUCUUUUGUUCCAUAAUCUUUAUUUGCUACAUAAUCUUGUAUAACAUCCCUUAUAUCUUCUUGAAUGCAUUCUUAUAAAAUAUCAUAACCUUUUGUUGUCUCAAAGCAUUGGAUAAUAUCAUAAUAUUGAAAAAUCUCAUACCCUUAUGAAAUCUGAUGCUCUUGAAAAGUUUCAUAACUUUCAUGAUAAUCCUUUGUGGUUUUACAACCACAUUUAGUAUCAUAAUCUUAUACAAUCUCAUAAUCCUCUCUAUAAUGAUUAUGUGAAAAUUCAUAGCUUCUUUCAUCCAAUCCAUAUGUGAUCUUAUAGCAGUAUGCAAUUAGACUUUUAUCAUCAUGCCUAUGUAUAAUUCCACUACCUCUCAAAUCAUAAUGUUGUGAAUUCAUAUAACCUCUAUGAUCAUAAUCUUGAGUAGAUCCAUAAUCCAUUUCUUUUGAAGGCUCAGCCUUAAAUACUUUAAUAUAAUCUAAA
rnacentral:lncRNA from 1 species